AUACGGAGGGUGCAAGCGUUACUCGGAAUCACUGGGCGUAAAGCGCGCGCAGGCGGUCUUUUAAGUUGGAUGUGAAAUCCUAUAGCUUAACUAUAGAACUGCAUCCAAAACUAUUAGACUAGAGUCUGGGAGAGGUAAGUGGAAUUAGUUGUGUAGGGGUAAAAUCCGUAGAGAUAACUAGGAAUACCAAAAGCGAAGGCAACUUACUGGAACAGUACUGACGCUGAGGCGCGAAAGCGUGGGGAGCAAACAGGAUUAGAUACCCCGGUAGUCC
rnacentral:rRNA from 1 species